rnacentral:rRNA from 2 species
UGGAUCCAGAACUUUGAUCCUGGCUCAGGACGAACGCUGGCGGCGUGCUUAACACAUGCAAGUCGUACGAGACGAUUGAAAGCUUGCUUUUGAAAGUCGAGUGGCAAACGGGUGAGUAACGCGUAGACAACCUGCCGUAAAGAUGGGGACAACAGUCCGAAAGGACUGCUAAUACCGAAUGUUGUGGAACUUCCGCAUGGGAGCUCCACUAAAGAUGGCCUCUACUUGUAAGCUAUCGCUUUACGAUGGGUCUGCGUCUGAUUAGCUAGUUGGUGGGGUAACGGCUUACCAAGGCGACGAUCAGUAGCCGGUCUGAGAGGAUGAACGGCCACAUUGGAACUGAGACACGGUCCAGACUCCUACGGGAGGCAGCAGUGGGGAAUCUUCCGCAAUGGGCGCAAGCCUGACGGAGCAACGCCGCGUGAGUGAAGAAGGGUUUCGACUCGUAAAGCUCUGUUGUCGGGGACGAACGUGGAGGUGGUGAAUAACCAUUUCCAAUGACGGUACCUGACGAGGAAGCCACGGCUAACUACGUGCCAGCAGCCGCGGUAAUACGUAGGUGGCGAGCGUUGUCCGGAAUUAUUGGGCGUAAAGGGAGCGCAGGCGGGAGAUCAAGUCUAUCUUAAAAGUGCGGGGCUCAACCCCGUGAGGGGAUGGAAACUGGUCUUCUUGAGUGCAGGAGAGGAAAGCGGAAUUCCUAGUGUAGCGGUGAAAUGCGUAGAUAUUAGGAGGAACACCAGUGGCGAAGGCGGCUUUCUGGACUGUAACUGACGCUGAGGCUCGAAAGCGUGGGGAGCGAACAGGAUUAGAUACCCUGGUAGUCCACGCCGUAAACGAUGAAUGCUAGGUGUAGGAGGUAUCGACCCCUCCUGUGCCGGAGUUAACGCAAUAAGCAUUCCGCCUGGGGAGUACGGCCGCAAGGCUGCAAACUCAAAGGAAUUGA